rnacentral:lncRNA from 1 species
CUUGAUCUUACACGUAUGCACUCGAAUCGGGACGGAUGGACUUGAUUUGAGAUACCAAAUGGUAAGAUGAUUUUUUACGAUUCUUUUACGAUUAUAAAUUAUAAAUGUAGACAGUCCAUCGUGAAGCCACGCCUCUAAAAGUCUGCUUGAAAACAUUAUAAUAUAAUUAGUAAUAUAAUUGUCUAUAAUAGUUAUUGCUUCGUUAAACAUGUUAUUUUUUUUAAAUAUAAAUUGGCGUAUGAAAAUCGUGUUUUUUAAACAUCAAAUCAGCAGAUUUUGAUUGUAAAUUACAUUCUAGAUUUUCUAGUUUCACUUUCGAUUGAUCAAUUUUCCAGAAAUUUGUUUAAAAAUACGACUACCAACAGGCUUUUUCAAGUAAAUAUAUAUUGGAUAUAAACUUUAUUUCUAGUUAUGUAAUACACAUUAUUGUUUACACAAACACAAAAAUAACUCUUAACGUGACAUUUUAAUCUGCUGAGAAGGGGGGGGGGGGAGGGGGGGGGGGGUAUAUAAAAAAAAAAAACAACAAAAAAAGAAUGAACCCAAAUGCGCGCUGACCUUUGGGUCCAUUUAAUAAAAUUUGCUGACUCAACGUAUUGAUCAGCUAUGUACAACACCUCUCAUUUAAUAACGGAAAAGUCAUAUUAUCAUUCACGUCCUUCUAAAUUUUCGUAAAUUACCAUCCUAUAAUUGGAAAAUAGUUCGGAAGAAAACACGAAAUCUACAAAUGCCUAUAAUUUUCGCACGUUUUUUUUUACUAAUAAAUAUUGAAGAAUUAUUGAGGUCGAGAUUUUUGUUGUUGAAAAUUAUGAAAAUACAAUAAUGAAAGGAUUCCUUAUUAAAUAUUAUUGAUGUAAGUUUUAGAUGUUUUGAGUCUUAACUUCGCUCCCUUUUUUCCAGCCCUUCAUCUACUAUUUUUGUGUCAAACUUAAAUGUUUUCUUUAUCCCAAACUGAUUUUCAAAGUUCUCUUAGACAUAGCUGUAAUAAAUUUGUUAAAAUCCUAUUAAAAUAAUACUUUAGGAGAAGCAUCUGUAUAUAUGUCCUCAAUUAUAAUUUUCUAAUACUUUGCAAAAAUAGAGAUUUUACUAUGGUUUUUUUUCGAAAUAAAUGAUAAAAAGUAUUAUAAAUCACCGUGCUAUUACUUAAUUUAUAACAAGAAAAAAUCCAUAAAUAUUAUAUCGCACAUCAGCUAAAGAAUCAUCGCACUUCGGCGUAGACAAUCGCUCUUCAGCGUCCCAAUCGCCUCUCCGAUUCCUACAUGUAUGCACAAUUCCAUUUUCAAAAAGGUAUGAAAUACCCAUCAAAAGGAGAAGGCGGUGUUCAAAUGGAUUUAAAAUUCUGUUAUUUUGUAUACAUAAGGAAUUGUGUCAGGGGGUUCGUGUACGGUCCAAAUAUUGAUAUGGGUAUGUCAAUAUUCAAUACAGAAUCGUGACAGAUUUACGAAACAUGGCUCCAGUACCCUCUUAUGGAGCUUUAUCUAUGAUUAAUGCAUUCCAAACUUUAGCUUGGCAGGGGGUAUCGAUAUUUCAAAAUCAUGAAUCGGGCCUGGAUUCCUAUUCCGUCUCUAUGUUUGCGCAAGACUUAGUUCUGGUAUUCCGUUUCAUCUUCCUUUCUUAGGAGCACCACCAUGGGUUAUGGAGGACAGUCAGCACUAGGUAUAGGUACAGAUUUGAUAUGAACAUAAUUAUGCCGACACAGUGACAGCCUGGCUGUGGCGAGUCAUACUACCAGUAAGUGAACCUACCCCAAAACAGUGAGUUCCAUGCAAUGAAACAUACGAACACACAUUCACAUGAUUCGCUCAUCCACAAAAUAUGAAAAAUGCAAUAUAUAAAAACAAUUAAAUACAAAUUAAUUUCAUUAGAUGUAUGUUUCAUCAUGAGACUGUUAUUUUGAUUGGUUAACAUCAAUUUUGCGUCCUUCUGAAAUUAACAUUCAGCAAGCUAUAAAGGGCCCCUAAAAUGACUUAUGUUAAAACAUUCAAACGGUAACAUCAACGGUAUCAUCUGUAUAGAAAACGAGAAACGAGAAACAUUAUGAACCACAGCAACAAACAACAACUACUGAAUAUCAGAUUCCUUUCUUAAGACUCUGAAACAAUUGUAUAACAUCACAACCUAGAAAGACACACUUUAAACAGUUAAAAUAUCAAUUGAAAUUGCUUAACUAAAUCAAAAGAAAUAUUAACACGUUCAAGUGAACAUACAAUGAACAAAUAAAUUUGAUCUAUGUUACAAUGUAAAAACAAAAUCAAUUAAAAAAGGGAUGAAAAAUAAAGGUAACAGCAGUAUACUGCUGUGCGAUAUUAAACAAUUAAAAAACCCAACAUUAACCUUGAACAAAAAGCCAAAUUAACAAAGAUCUACACUGGUUAAAGAUAAAAAAAUAAAUAAUUAUUUCAUAGAACGAAGAAUUGAAAAUUUAUUGUCAUCACGUUUUUGCGCCAAUGCUAUUUCUGCGCCACAACUUAUUUGUGCCAAUGAUACUUCUGCGCAACAACUUAUUUGAGCCUAUGCUACUUCUGCGCCACAACUUAUUUGUGCUAAUGCUACUUCUACGCCACAACUUAUUUGUGCCAAUGCUACUUCUGCGCCACAACUUAUUUGUGCUAAUGAUACUUCUGCGCCACAACUUAUUUGUGCCAAUGCUUCUUCUGCGCCACAACUUAUUUGUGCCAAUGCUACUUCUGCGCGACAACUUUUUGUGCCAAUGAAACUUCUGCGCCCCAACUUAUUUGUGCCAAUGCUACUUCUGCGCCACUUCAUUAAAAAAAACUAUAGGUUUAGUUAAAACAUAUUUGUUUAUAGCGGAUUUGAUUUUUUUUUUAUUGCAACUUAUAUUUAUCUCUUUCCACUUGGCGCCAAUUGAAAAAAAAUCAUCCUAUUACGCAUGAAUUUAUCUAUCUUAACAAAUCAUUUUUACAGAAAACAAAGUCAUCAUUUUUUUUAUGUUUUAAGAAUUCCGUGAAAUGCGGCUUGUUUGUUUUGUGUUCAGAUUGUUGCAGUUUCUUUUUUUCAAUUUUGAAGAGCUCAGGAGUAUUCCCCAUUCAAAAUAAAAGAUUCCUCAGUAAAUAGCUUGGCACACUACGACUUAACUGUUAGACAGUACAUCUCCAUAUACAUUUGUAAUUUCUCUAUCUUAUUUAACAACUAUUUAUUUAGUUAUAAUCCAGUACUUUUGAAUGCAAAUCAUGUUAAAUUUGAAGUUAUAUUGAUAGGAACUUGGUACUUACAAAGGAACAAACUUUUAUAACGUUAUAUAACUGUCUGUACAUCUCAGUUUGUCGACCAUUUUCUGUCUCUGCCAAACGACCAUUGAACUGUUACUGAAUUAAUAACAUUGUUGCUGUCCAUCAUCAGAUUGUCUUUUUCUUAAUCUUUUGUUGACAGGCGUGAAUUUCUCAGUGUCAAUACUUUAUUUAACCUGUAAACUGACAAUUAAAAACAGUUUGUUAUAGAUCAGAUCAGUACAGAUGUAUUGACUACUGGGCGGAGGACUGAUAGUUCACCUGCAGCGAUAUCAACCUUCUGCUGUUAUAAAUUAAAACAUAUAUAAAAAAGAAGUAAAAGGCAUACUUCCACAGCGCUCUUCUAUAUUUAUCUUCAUUAAUGACACUCCAAUCCGAAUAUUUGAAAGCCAAUGAUUUAUUAGAACAGCUGAAAAGCUAUAUGACCAACAAACAGCAACUACACAAAGUCAUAAUAGCCAAACCCAUCUGAGGUACACUUUGUCCGAGGGAGUUGAAACCUCAUCUACGAAAGAUGUGUUUAUGAUGACAGCAUCGAAGUACUGAUUACUGAGAUGAUGAUAUCCUCGAAAACUGUUAGUUAAUUAGCAGCGGGAUCGACCCAGUGCUGUUAAAAAUGGGGAAAAGGUUUUGAAACGUUCUGUAAACUGUUGUUAUUACUAUAUGGACUAUGAUUUGAAUAGUAUCAUCAAAGACGUUUGCAUUGGAUAUAUAUUUCCCUAGUCAAGAAAAAUUCACCUUCUACAAACAAAAGAAACACUUUGGCAUUAAGACCUGAAUUCAUUAAUUAUUAACUCUUUAAAUGGAAUAUUUAUAGAUUAAAUCAAAUUAAUAUUUUAAAUAGCCUGUCAUUUAUAUCUAUACACAUAAAAAAAAGUAUUGCAACACCUUGAUUUUUGAAAACUUGAAAAAUCAGCCUCUUAUUUUGGAUGGAAUAUGAUAAAAUAUUUGUAAAAUAAUAUUGAAACCUAGUUUAUGUUAACAAUAGCAUUAAAAAGAACAAAAAAUGUUUGAAAAAAAAAAUGAAUUAUCUAACCACAAUUUUAAUAACAAAAUGAAGUGUUUUUUGUACAAAAAAAUCCAUUUUACAACUUUUACUGUAGUCGGAUUUCACAAUGUCUGACAUUUCAAAAUAAAUCUUAAGAUGAUUGUUCACAUUAUGGUUGAUCGUUAUACGCCAAAGAAUUAGUACUUUGUGCGCAGCCUCAAUUCAAACGGAUAACCGCCUCUUGACGUCUUCUGAUUCCUGCCAUGAAUCGACUAAUUUGUUGCUAAGGUAGCAGUAACCAAUUCUGAUGAAGGGCAUUGUUUAUUUCAUGACGUGUUUGAACUGGGGUGUCCUUCCGCACACUUUACGCCCAAUAGUGUCCCUUAGAUGCUCGAUAUGGUUCAAAUCCGGGCUACGAUCGGGCCAAGAAAGAUGAACUGAAUUCCAUUGGAACAAUGGAUCUUCCUCCACGUUGCUAAUUUCCAAUUUUGGCGAGCUCCGCACUACAUUGGAUACGGACAACUGUGUGUCUGUUCGCAAGCAAUGGUCCCCGAAAUGGUCUGAUCGCACGAUAACCAGUAUCGAUGAGUCGAUCUCGAACAGUUCUUGUUAAAAGCUUAUGUAUGCCCACCACUCUCUUUUUAGGAUUGUAUUGUAUGCAAUGGGUUUCCUUCUGACCAACCUUCAUUAUGCUUGAUUUUCCCUAGCAGAUGGUAUAGGGGGUCUUCUUGAUCUCGGAAGGUCUUUAACACCGUUUAUUGCCUGAUUUUUAUUCUCAAAACGACUUAUAGUGGAAUGGUGAUAACCAACAAUACGUGCGGUUGUCAAAGCGACAUUCCUGCUUCUCUCAUGCUGAUUAUCUGCCUUAUUUCUGCAGUUAAGACUUGUGGAGAACCCAUUACAAGGUGUCAAUCACAUAACUUUAUAAACUUGGCUGUUUAAAGUAUUGAAAACAAUGAAGAUAAAAACAUCUGUUUUGCUGUUUACCGGUACAGUAGCUGCAUGUGCAGAUAAGAACUUAUCGAGUCAAUAUUUAUUGAUUAAACUCAGGCGAUAUUUAAAUAAUGUUUAACUAGUUUUAUUUUAACAAAUUAUAUCACAAAAAAUAAAAAGUGCUUUUUUAAUUUCAAUUUCAAUUUGGUGUUGCAAUACUUUUUUCCAUGUGUAUAAAUUAUCAAAGUAAAAUCUUAAAUAAAGUUCUAAAUGUAUUGCCUAAAUAAAUAACUUUACAAAGUCCACCGCAUGUACUUUUUUUCUAAAAUGAUCAUCUUUUUCGUCAAAUACAAAUAAAAAGUCAUCAAUCAAGAAUUAUGAGGGGAAAAUAAGAAAAUAGAAAAACGAAAAGUUUCAAUAAUAAAACAAACGUGUAUUCUCUCGUUUCACACUGCACGGAGUUUGAUACGAAAAAGUGAUACGAAAAUCGGCAUUUAUUUUAUUAUCUUAUCCAGAAUCAUGAGACGAUAUUUACGGCGUUCCCAUUGGCGUUUCGUUAUGUCAUUGAUAACUUUCAAAGGUAAAGACGAUGUUUCUUUUGUCCGUUGCAAAAGAAAUAUGCGAGUUCUUCAUUAAUAAACAAAUCAGUCACACUUUUCCACAGACAAACUUUGAUACAUUCUGAAGCGUACACACAAUUUUAAAAUGUCUGACGUUAAAGUUUGACUCUAGAAAAGGAGAUAUGACGACAUACUGGCAUAUGCAAAUGUCUAGAAUUUUUAAUUCAACACAAUGACAGUGUUGACUAUUAGAGAAAUAUGUUUAACAACUUGGGAGAAAUGGAUAUUGGUUGAUAUAAAUUCUCAUAAUUAUUUAAUUUAAAUAGUAAUAACAAACGCUUCAAAGUCUCGUUUAUUAUUAUAUUGAAAUUAAAUAGCUCGAGUUGAUAUCAAGCGAUAACCGAUUCUCACUCGUUAUGAAACCUAUUUAUGUAUUAGAUAAAAUACAAAGGUAACAAAGAAACAGGCCGGUAAAAACCGUUGCCGGAUAGUUUUUCUGCACGAGUAGUCAGGUCAAGGUCCGAGGCGAUAGCCGAGGACCUUGACCUGACUACAAGUGCAGAAAAACUAUUCGGCUGGUUGUUACCGGCCUGUUUCUUUUGUUACUUUUGUUUUUUAUCUGACUUGUACGACGUUUCAAGUAAUAAUACGUGAUGCAAGACUAAACAGUUGAAAAUCUUUGAUAGCCAUAAAGCAGUAAAUGUAAGUUAUAGUAUAAACACAUUUUUUUUUCAUUUCCCUUCAACCGAGAUUUUUUUUCAAAAGAAAAAAAAUCAGGAAUCUAAUAAUUUGAUAAAAAAAAAAAGAACCAUUUCAAGUAAAAUAUAAAUGUUGUACACAUUUAAGACUUUUUAAAAUGCAACUUCGUAAAAAAGUAAUAUAUUAAGGAAUAUUUUAGUGGUAAGUAAGAUAAUGUUUGAUUUUAUGAAUAAAAACGGAAAGCGGGGAGGGGGAGGGGCUAAUUCAUUUUAAAAUACACAGGCUGUGAUCUUUAAUUGAUGAAAAAAUGCAGGAUGAGCCAUUAAAUCCCGCCAUUCCCCCUUAAAAAAAUCGUAAAAAUCGCGCGUUUGUUGCCAAAUACAUGAAUUUAAUAUAAAGUGGUGGGGGUCCCGCGGGUUGGAACAACCCUUUUUUUGAAGAUCAAUGCAUUUAAAAUUUAAAUGGGGACAUAAAGUUGGACCCCCCCCCCUCCCUGUUUUGUUCUGGAUUUAGACAUGGAUCCGCCACUGAUAUAAAUCCGAUAACAAUAUAAAGGUAUCAAAAGAAUGAAUUUCCUACUUCAUUAGUGAAUGAAAUAUUUAUGAAAAAAAAGAUUUUGUCUUAAUAUUAUUUAUACAUGUAUACAGGAAUAUACUUUGAUUUUUUUUUUUAAUUCAUGCUCGUCUCUAGAUCUGCAAGUGUUGAUCGGGAUUAAACACGUGUUACCAUAUGAUCCAAUCGCAGCUUACCGCCCAAAAUUGAUGACAAGUUGAAUGAUUUUCUUCUAGAUUUGCUGCUUAUUUGGACGUGUAUUAACAUGAACACUUUUUUUUAUAGGAUCAAUCGUGCAUUGGUGAGUUGAUAGGUAUUUUAUCUUUUGAUAUUAGAUUUGAUUUUUAUUUAUUUAUUUCCUGUCUUAUUUUUUAUUGAAAUGUUCACGUCAGUAUUAUCCUUUCUUUACUUUCAGCAUUGUCCAAAAUACUAUGCAUGUCCAUAUAUUUAAGAAAACAUUUAUUGACCGAAUAUUUUGCUUCAUAAAGGGGGCGGUAUGUUGUUCUUUUUUGAGUAUAUUAACUAUUUACUUUUCAAGGCCAUCACCCAAAUGGUUUUGUUUAAAUUAGCACCAGGGGCGGAUCCAGUCAUUUUAAAAGGGGGGUUCCAACUAUAUGUCCCCAUUCAAAUGCAUUGAUCGGCCAACAAAAAAGGGGGGUUCCAACCCCCGGAUCCGCCAAUGAGCACUAUUAACGGUAUUUGGAAAAUCAGGAAUCAUUCAAAACAUUAAUUUGUCAUCUGCUUGACCAUAAUAAUUUUUUUCGCAUAUAAUUUGGGACCAAAAUAUCUAUUUUAGGAGAAAAUAACCCCCACUAUUGAAGUUAAAUGUCUAAUCCCUUAGUGUACUGAUGUGAAUAGUAAUUAACUGGAAAUGUUUGAAAAAAAAAGAUAUUGAUGUUGUUCAAUAAAAAGACGGGAAAUAAGUCGGUGAACCAAAAAGUUCAAAUCUAAUUGAAGAUAAAGUGCCAUGAACUCACUGAUCAUGCACGAGUGAUUCUAUUCAUAAAAAGUGUCCGUGUAACAACUAAAAAGGGUCCGUGUAUCGUCUAAAAAGAGUCCGUGUAACACCCGUUCAUGUACUGUUUUUCUAUAGCUCUGCGGGGGGCAAAGUCGUACAAAUACGAAUUAAUGUCUGUUUGAAAUAGUUUAACGGGGGCGUGGCCUAUUAAUUUGACGCAUCUAACCACCAACUUGAUUUCAAUUGAAUGACUGCAGAGAAAUCUAUUUGACUGGCGUUAAAAUGAAUUGAUAUGAAUUGAAAUGAAUUAAAUAUGAUUAGCAAGCAUAUGACGGUGGACUACACUGUAGAAAUUACUUAAAUCGAUAGAUAUAUCGGAUUCAACAGAUAUAUGUAAUGGUAAGAUACACGAUUAACUGUAUGAUCUACUGCAUCAUUCAAACUGCAUUCCUGUACAUUGUACAAAGUCUUUAAUUAAAUAACUUCAAACAAACUGAACUAUCUUGUAUGCUUUGUCAUGCUUCAGUAAUGUAUACAAAUUGAUAAAAAAUGCAGAUUUUUUAAAACGAAGGCAAUGAAAUAUCUCAUAUUAUCCUGUUUAAUUUUCUACUUUCGCUUUCAAUUACUUAAGAAAUGAAAAAGAAAAAAAAAUGGUCAAUUUGAGCAGAAGCAUAAGUUUCCUAAAAUUAAUUGGACCGAUGUAAUAAGAUUUAUUUCUCCAACGCCAAUUUAUCUUAAAAUCAAUUGAUAUGAAUCCUUAUACACUUUAAUGACGACCAUUUAAUUUAUUCCCUUAAUGCGGGGUUCACACAUUGCCGAUUAUUGCUCCCGUUUGAGAUCAGACAGUCGUUUAAGUUCUUAACAUAUUUCUACAGAUAAUGAAUGGUCCGGAUAAUUCGGCGAAGCACGCCGACAGUUAGGUGCGUCCCGUUAAGCUGGGCUCACACAUUCACGAUUUUUACUGCCGUCCUUGACAGGACCAUUCCCGAUUAAAAUUUGUCAAAAGUUUGAUCAAGAUCUUGUGAAUCGUGGAUGGAAAUUCUAACUUUAAUCAACAUUUGUAAAACAAAUAAUUUAAUCACGACAACAAUCAGAUAUUGUUCUGGAAGCGGCGAUAUUCAAACGUUUCAAAGCAAAUUUAUCCCGAUAAUCCCGUUCUCAAUCUGCUUCUAAUCCAAUUUGUAUCUUUCGCCAGGUAAAAUUCGAUCGAGUCUGUCACGACUGCGUCCCGAUUCUACCGAAUGUAAUCCGACAAAGAUCAGACAGUGACCAGACAGUGAUCCGACGCUCACGGAAGUUAUCCGUUCGAAAACUGUCGGCAUACUCGGGAUGAUAAGGUACUGUCGGAACGUAAUCCUAUCAUGGUCCGCUCUAUCGCAUUGCAAACGGCUUUGUCUGGUCUCAGUCGUAUUGUAUUCUGUAAUUGUCGGGACUCUGACGUGGGUAUCAUUGACGAAUUUCGUAUUAUUAACGGGACUGUUCCGGAACGGUUUCGGCAAAAACGGUUCGCAAUCGACAAGAUCUGGAUGCAAUCUGGACUCAAUCGGCAGAAAAACAGCAAUGAAAAAUUUCUCCAGAUCAUUCCCGUUCCAUAGGACACCGUCCAGAAUACACAGAACAUUGUUAGGAUUUUGAUCCGAUACAGCAGAAUCUGUCACGACAUAGGCACGAUCGUUAUCCGACUAGUCAAAAUCGGUUGAGCCUCUUGCUUAUAACUAAAUGUUACAAGUCCCCCUGACAUAGAGUCAACAGACGCAUAAUGUAUAUAUGUUUUGUACAAAUUUAAUGUUGUACAAAUUAUAAUGUGUACACAUGUUUUGUUCAAAUUAUCAAUGUUUUAUGAACCGCUAUACACAAAUGGAUGAUGCAAGCACACAGUAUUUCUUUCCACAUAUAUCUGUCAUAUUUUCAUGACUACAUGAUAUAGUUGAAUACUGAGCAUUGAUACAAACACAUUAGAAGAUCACAAAAAGACUUUUUUUUAGAUAUGAUUGUGGUCUAAAGAGAAAAAUAAAAUUAAAAUUAAAACAAUUCAGUUGUCCUUAUUUCCAGUGUGAGGACAAGGAAAGUAGCACUAAUAAAUGUUAAGCAGGAGUGAAGUCAUUUGAAUUUAACUAAAUCAUUUUAAAAUAUAAAUUGUUAUCACGUAGUGAUAAAAACUUAUAAAUUUUACAAAACCUGUGCAAACUAGUAUUUGAACAAAUUUACAUAUACAACAUAUAUAUGGUUUUUUUUUAUUACUGUGUGGUAUUUUAUGUGUCUUACUAUAUUUCAGAAUUCUUGGUAGUUCAUUGUUUGCGUGUUUGGACAACCUUAUUUUAAUAAAAGAAAAAUGGAACAAAAGGAUUCAUGAUAAACUUGAUUGAAACGUCGACGGUCUUUAUUCU